rnacentral:rRNA from 1 species
AGGGUUUGAUCCUGGCUCAGAUUGAACGCUGGCGGCAUGCCUUACACAUGCAAGUCGAACGGUAACAGGUCUUCGGAUGCUGACGAGUGGCGAACGGGUGAGUAAUACAUCGGAACGUGCCCAGUAAUGGGGGAUAGCUCGGCGAAAGCCGGAUUAAUACCGCAUACGCCCUGAGGGGGAAAGUGGGGGAUCGCAAGACCUCACGUUAUUGGAGCGGCCGAUGGCUGAUUAGCUAGUUGGUAGGGUAAAGGCCUACCAAGGCGACGAUCAGUAGCUGGUCUGAGAGGACGAUCAGCCACACUGGGACUGAGACACGGCCCAGACUCCUACGGGAGGCAGCAGUGGGGAAUUUUGGACAAUGGGGGAAACCCUGAUCCAGCAAUGCCGCGUGUGCGAAGAAGGCCUUCGGGUUGUAAAGCACUUUUGUCAGGGAAGAAAUCCUUUGGGCUAAUACCCUAGGGGGAUGACGGUACCUGAAGAAUAAGCACCGGCUAACUACGUGCCAGCAGCCGCGGUAAUACGUAGGGUGCAAGCGUUAAUCGGAAUUACUGGGCGUAAAGCGUGCGCAGGCGGUUGUGUAAGACAGGUGUGAAAUCCCCGGGCUUAACCUGGGAAUUGCAUUUGUGACUGCACGACUAGAGUGUGUCAGAGGGGGGUGGAAUUCCACGUGUAGCAGUGAAAUGCGUAGAUAUGUGGAGGAACACCAAUGGCGAAAGCAGCCCCCUGGGAUAACACUGACGCUCAUGCACGAAAGCGUGGGGAGCAAACAGGAUUAGAUACCCUGGUAGUCCACGCCCUAAACGAUGUCAACUAGUUGUUGGGGAUUUACUUCCUUGGUAACGUAGCUAACGCGUG